rnacentral:lncRNA from 10 species
UGCCCUCCCUUGUUUCCGCUGCAUCCAGACUUCCUCAGGCGGUGGCUGGAGGCUGCGCAUCUGGGGCUUUAAACAUACAAAGGGAUUGCCAGGACCUGCGGCGGCGGCGGCGGCGGCGGGGGCUGGGGCGCGGGGGCCGGACCAUGAGCCGCUGAGCCGGGCAAACCCCAGGCCACCGAGCCAGCGGACCCUCGGAGCGCAGCCCUGCGCCGCGGAGCAGGCUCCAACCAGGCGGCGAGGCGGCCACACGCACCGAGCCAGCGACCCCCGGGCGACGCGCGGGGCCAGGGAGCGCUACGAUGGAGGCGCUAAUGGCCCGGGGCGCGCUCACGGGUCCCCUGAGGGCGCUCUGUCUCCUGGGCUGCCUGCUGAGCCACGCCGCCGCCGCGCCGUCGCCCA